UACGGAGGAUGCAAGCGUUAUCCGGAAUGAUUGGGCGUAAAGCGUCCGCAGGUGGCUGUGUAAGUCUGCUGUUAAAGAGUCUACUCAACUAGAUACAAGCAGUGGAAACUACACGGCUAGAGUACGUUCGGGCAGAGGGAAUUCCUGGUGUAGCGGUGAAUGCGUAGAGAUCAGGAAGAACACCGGUGGCGAAGGCGCUCUGCUAGGCCGUAACUGACACUGAGGGACGAAGCUAGGGAGCGAAUGGG
rnacentral:rRNA from 1 species